CGGCAGAUAACGCCAUCCCCAUCAAGUCGUGGUUCAGCGACCCCGGGGACACGGCCCUCCUCAACCUCCUGCCCAUGCUCGAUGCCUUGAGGUUCACAGCGGACGUCCGGUCGGUGCUCAGCCGCAACCUGCACCAACAUCGCCUCUGGUGACAGCGGCUCCUCCUUUCUUCAGGGUUCGGCCACAGCCCUCUGCCUUAUCCCGGGACCCGCUCCUCUCGCCAGGCGCCACGGCCGACAACCCCCCCCCC